GAUGAACGCUGGCGGCGUGCCUAAUACAUGCAAGUCGAGCGAACAGACGAGGAGCUUGCUCCACUGACGUUAGCGGCGGACGGGUGAGUAACACGUGGAUAACCUACCUAUAAGACUGGGAUAACUUCGGGAAACCGGAGCUAAUACCGGAUAAUAUAUUGAACCGCAUGGUUCAAUAGUGAAAGACGGUUUUGCUGUCACUUAUAGAUGGAUCCGCGCCGCAUUAGCUAGUUGGUAAGGUAACGGCUUACCAAGGCAACGAUGCGUAGCCGACCUGAGAGGGUGAUCGGCCACACUGGAACUGAGACACGGUCCAGACUCCUACGGGAGGCAGCAGUAGGGAAUCUUCCGCAAUGGGCGAAAGCCUGACGGAGCAACGCCGCGGGAGUGAUGAAGGUCUUCGGAUCUUAAAACUCUGUUAUUAGGGAAGAACAAAUGUGUAAGUAACUAUGCACGUCUUGACGGUACCUAAUCAGAAAGCCACGGCUAACUACGUG
rnacentral:rRNA from 1 species